rnacentral:rRNA from 1 species
UACGUAGGGGGCAAGCGUUGUCCGGAUUUAUUGGGCGUAAAGAGCGUGUAGGCGGCUAGGUAGGUCCGUUGUGAAAACUCGAGGCUCAACCUCGAGACGCCGAUGGAAACCAUCUGGCUAGAGUCCGGAAGAGGAGAGUGGAAUUCCUGGUGGUAGCGGUGAAAUGCGCAGAUAUCAGGAGGAACACCAGUGGCGAAGGCGGCUCACUGGCCCGGUACUGACGCUGAGGUGCGAAAGCGUGGGGAGCAAACAGG